ACAAAACAUAACGAAAACCAGUGCGCAGCAGAGGAGAAAUAUAGCAUAGAAGAAACUGAACAAAUAUCAAGAGGAUACCAAAAAAAAUCACCGAAUGCAGAUGUUAAAUCUCUUUUCUUACUUAUAAUGCAAUUUCAACCCGAAUUCUAGGCUUAGGUUUACCUCGGAUUAGUCGCUUGCAAACAUGCAGAAAAAUCAUUCUAAUAUUUGAGGACUCCUUAAUCCAAUCAUCCUCCAACGGCCGCUGCUAGUCUUCACGAUAAACCAGACCCUACACAGCCAGACACAAUGCUCACCUGCCGAAAUUCAUGCAUCUCUGGCUCUCAUAUCAAGCCCCCGAAACAUAAUUUAACACCAAAUCACGGGUUCAGACGACCGAUGCGGACUCGGAAUGAGACACAGCUUCUUGUCUCAUUAAUCACUUCACCAGGCAAAAUUUCAGCUGAGACCCUCGCUCAGGUUACAGAAUAUGGAGUCCUCUCGCUCCUCAACAAUGACAUUCAUUUGAGACCUUCGCUCAAAUCGAACUUUUCCCAUGGUAUAAAAUAUGGAGUCCUCUUGCUUCUAAACAACAAUAUUCAUUUGAGACCUUCGCUCAUAUCGAACAAGUAACACGAUCUGGAAUCCUCUUGCACUUCAUUUUUUUAAAGGACCCAUUGAGACUUUUAACACAAAAUCAAAUGCACUCAUUUUUUCUGUCAGGCAAUAUAACACGGUAUCUUCUACUACUCAAUAUUUAUAACUAUUUGAGACAUUUUAUCAAAUGUUUUUUUUUUUUCAUUAAUCUACACACAUGCAUUCCAUUAAAGUGUCUUCCUUGACCUAGUAAUUAAGUGCUUAUUGUAACUUCAAGGUUUUCGUAAAUAAAAAUCACAAUUACAAUUACAAUCAAAUCCAUUCGCAUCUAUUUUUUUUUGUUUCAACUAAAACUUUUUGACCAAGAAAUAGAAUACUAAGUUCUCUCGCUUCUCAACAUUUAUACUAUUUAAGACCUCUUGCUCAAAAUGUUACGCUUUUUUAACUGAGACCUCUAGCGCUUUAUCCGUUUAAGACCUCAAAACAUCAGACAUGUUUUUUCAACUGCGACCUCCCGCUCAAGUAAUAGCAUAUGGAGUCCUCUUGCUCCUCAAUUACAAUUUGAAAACUCUCGAUCAAAACUUACUUUUUUAAUACUGAGACCUCUCACUGAAACAGAUUUUUUUUUUUAAUUGCAACCUCCUAUGAACAAUUUAAAUUAUCUGGUCACCCUUCCUUCUUUGCCGCCAUAUUUUUAUGAAUGAUUUAUUUGAAGGUUGAACUUACCCUGCAGGAGCAUUUACUGCGCCAUUGUAGUGACCUUACUACAUCAUCACCAAUCACCAU